rnacentral:lncRNA from 1 species
ACUGGCAGUUAUAUUUCCACCAUCACUCCUAGUUGUGACUUCCUACAAGAAAUGAGAACGAAAAUGAUAUUACAGCCUCAUGUCCCUUCCUUGUUUGGCCGUUAUAUUCGACAUGUUCCUUCCCUGAACAAAAGAGAUCAAUAGUGAGCAUUAAAGACCCCUGAAAACUCAAUAGGAUAUACGCCAUGGCAGUAUCUGCCCCGUUUUCAUAUUCAUUCAAUGCACACUACCAAAAUCUAAUAGUAAUCAAACUUGAAUUAAAAUGGUACAUAAAGUUUUUGUAGUUAGAGAUAGGACCAAGUUGGAAUAAUAUAGAGAAAAUCAAACUUUAUCCUAGCAUUACACGGAAGAAACGUGACCCACUUAUCAUAUGAACAGAAACAGACCGAGAAAUUUAUUUACCAUCAGAUGUCGAUCUCUAUAUUUCUGCUUUGCAAAUGAUCCCAAUUUAAAGCUUGAUAUCCCUUGGAAUCUUCACAUUACACUGCAACCUACAAAGCUUAAAUAAGGCCACUAACGUUCAGAGCAUAGCUUAAAGAAUUGUGCAAUUAGCUCAUGAAAGCCCCCUGAUGUAACAUUUUUACCUGGUUGGUGAUGCAUGGUGGUCUACUAUGCGCAAUAAAAUACAACAAGUAAACUAGAUAAUCAUCAUAUUAAGUACUACAUCAUCAAUAGGCUGAUCAUGUUUGCACUGCCAAUUACUACAGACUUACACACGCUCCCUUCAAAUUUCAAGCACUGCUUAGCCAACAAUUCCAGGUUCAAGCAUGAAGUAGUCAAAAUGAAAUAACUCAAAAUAUUUUUAGAAUGUCAACAUAGAAGGAUACCCUUGAGGACUAUGUGAACCUAGAAGACCAGGAAAAAAAGAUUUCAACUUCGCAAUGAUAUAAGGGCAUCUCCA